ensembl:lncRNA
CCUGCAGCCCCCCAAAAGGCCCCAAAGCCCCGCGCAGGUCCCGGCAGCUCACAGCACUCACUUGUCCCCCAUGAAGGCCCCAAAAGCCCCCCAAAAGGCCCCAAAAGGUCCUGGAAGAUCCCCAAAAAGCCCCCCAGAAGGCCCCGAUAGCCCCCCAAAAGGCCCCGAUAGCCCCCCAAAAGUCCCCCAAAAGGCCCCAAAAGGCCCCCAAAGGUCCUGGCAGGUCCCCUAAAAGCCCCCCCCAGGUCCCGGCAGCUCACAGCACUCACUUGUCCCCCAAAAGGCCCCAGAAGCCCCCCAAAAGGCCCCAAAAGGUCCUGGAAGAUCCCCAGAAGCCCCCCAAAAGGCCCCAAAAGGUCCUGGAAGAUCCCCAAAAAGCCCCCCAAUAGGUCCCAAAAGCCCCCCUGCAGCCCCCCAAAAGGCCCCAAAAGCCCCCCAAAAGACCCCAGCAGCCCCCCAAAAGGCCCCAGCAGCCCCCCAGCAGCCCCCCAAAGCCCCCCCAGGUCCCGGCAGCUCACAGCACUCACUUGUCCCCCAUGAAGGCCCCAAAACCCCCCCAAAAGGCCCCAGAAGCCCCCAUGAAGGCCCCAAAAGCCCCCCAGAAGCCCCCCUGCAGUCCCCCAAAAGGCCCCG